rnacentral:misc_RNA from 1 species
UUUCCGUAGGUGAACCUGCGGAAGGAUCAUUACCGAGUUAGGGUUGCCUUCUAGGUGCCCGACCUCCCAACCCUUUUGUGAACCACCUCGUUGCUUCGGGGGCGACCCUGCCGUUCGCGGCGUGGGGCCCCCGGAGCCCAUCAAACCCUGCGUAACUAAGUCGUCGGAGUUUAAACAAAUUAAACAAAACUUUCAACAACGGAUCUCUUGGUUCGGGCAUCGAUGAAGAACGCAGC